rnacentral:rRNA from 1 species
CCUACGGGUGGCAGCAGUGAGGAAUAUUGGUCAAUGGGGGAAACCCUGACCCAGCCACGCCGCGUGAGUGAAGAAGUUUCUCGGUAUGUAAAGCUCUUUCGGCAGGGAAGAAAAUGACGGUACCUGAGUAAGAAGCCCCGGCUAACUACGUGCCAGCAGCCGCGGUAAUACGCAGGGGGCAAGCGUUUUACGGAUUUACUGGGUGUAAAGGGGGUGUAGGCGGGAUAAUAAGUGAGGCGUGAAAUUCCGGGGCUUAACCUCGGAACUGCUGUUGAAACUGUUAGACUUGAGUGAAGGAGAGGUAAGCGGAAUUCCUAGUGUAGAGGUGAAAUGCGUAGAUAUUAGGAGGAACACCGGUGGCGAAGGCGGCUUACUGG